UACGUAGGCAGCGAGCGUUGUUCGGAGUUACUGGGCGUAAAGCGUGCGUAGGCGGUGUCUUAAGUUUGUUGUGAAAUCUCCCGGCUUAACCGGGAGGGUGCGGCGAAUACUGAGAUGCUGGAGUGCCGGAGAGGUAAGCGGAAUUCCCGGUGUAGCAGUGAAAUGCGUAGAUAUCGGGAGGAACACCAGUGGCGAAGGCGGCCUUCUGGACCAGUACUGACGCUCAUGCACGAAAGCGUGGGGAGCAAACAGG
rnacentral:rRNA from 1 species